CUGCAAAAUGUUGCUUUGUGACAGUCACCUUCCACUGACACACCUUACCUUUCAUUUGUUGGGUCAUUCAUUCAUUCAUUGAUUUGAUCACAUGCCUGUGUCUAGUGAAGUUCAUGAGCCCAUCUUAACUUUCCGAGCUGGGACGGCCCCAUAGAGUACAACCCGUGUGGUGUAGACCUGAGUUCUGCUCCAGUGAUUCUAUCUCUGCUCUCUCCUGCAUCUUCAGGACCAACCACAGCAAAGGCGCUACAUAAUGAAAAGGGUAUUUUCAUUGUGGGGAAUAUGAAUGAGCUGACGUGGAACAGGAAGAUGUCCAGGUAUGGUGACAACACACAACACAGUCAGUUCUUCUAGGGGCGGGGCUUUCCUGAGGAAAGGGGAAUUAGCUGUGAGACAAAUGGUAAGGUUUCCAGAGACAGUAGGUGGGGGGAGCUAGGAGGAGCAGAGGCAGAGACAAUGAUAGACAACAGACAUGAUACAAUGGAGGUGCUCCCUCAAGCCUGUGUGCUGCGGUCUCGGGGUGAGAAUAGUGAGCAAAAAGAAAGGAAGCAACAAGAGACCGUUGAACACAAAAAGCCUUGAACCCUAAGCAAAGGCAUCUGCAUGUUGGUCUAAGGCAAGAGGAGGCUGCGGUGGGUUUCUAUGAAAGUGGCAGGUUUCAAGUGAUGCCCUGUGAUGAUAGCUCUCUCUCUCUCUCUCUCUCUCUCUCUCUCUCUCUCUCUCUGUGUGUGUGUGUGUGUGUGUGUGUGUGUGCUCGAGUGCACAUCUCUGUAUGCAUGUCAGUGCUUAUAUGUAUGUGCUCCUUUGUGUGUCUUUCAUCUGUGUGUCUCUGUUGUGUAUAUAUUUUGCAUCUGUGUGUGUAUGUCUCUGUGCGUGUCUUUAUGUGUGUGUCUACGUAUGUCAGUGUGUGUCUCUAUCCAUGUGUCUGUGUAUGUCUGUGAACGUGUGUGUGUGUGUGUGUGUGUGUGUGUGUCAGUGUGAAAUGUAUCUGCUAGCUCCACUAGGAAGCCUCACAAUCAUCCAGGUGAGACAUGAUUACAGGGCAGCCAAAUGACCAAUCAUUUCUCAGCUGAAUGGUAAUUGGACAUUCCAGACUCCAGGGUCUUGGUAUCCUCCACCACAGCUUCCUCUGCACUGCUAGCUCACCACGGGAGAGUGACUUAAGCUGCUUAUGGGUAAUCCAGCUCUCAGCCCUCACCCACCGUAGCUGCCAGCCCCUCAGCGGGCAGACUUGGGUUUCUGCGUGAGGACACUGAUGUCUUCUUCCUUACCCUUUACAUCUUGGGGAGUUGACAGCCUCUGCCCAGAGCUGAAACCACACCAUUAGGCCCCAGCACAUCAACUCUCAUCCUUCUCCCACAAGUCUGGGGCUGGCGACAUCCUCACCAAAUUGGCUUCCCUAGUUCCCUGGCCCAAAUUGAUUAAUCAUCAGGCAGUUUCAGCUAUCAGCCCUGCUGCAAUUGGCAUAUUUAUUUCUAAUCAGCUCUUAAAAAUGGCAUCAUUCAGAGGUGCUUAACCACAUUACUUAAUUCUCAGCCUGUAUUGCUAUUGAUUUCAAAUAUUCUCCUUCAGAUAUGGCUCAUCACUUAAUGCAGAAGUCUGUUUAUAUAAUAAUCUUAUCUGGUUACUAAAAUCUGUGAAAUCUCUUCAAUUGCCUCUAAUGCAAGAUUGGAGGCUGGUUGCUAAAUGAGUCAAUUUUACUUUAAUUUGGUUUAUUUACAGUACAUGUUUUAAUGCCGCACAUUCCCGUCUUCCGCAGCAAAGCUGAAAAGAAAGGCAAAUAUGGGCGCAGAGAGAGGCAUGCGCUUUUCUCUGUCUGGAGGAAUGGAGGGGGCUGGUUGGCAGAGCUCCCUGAACAACACUAAACUUCUGGCCUCUAGUGACCUGUGCGAGAGGCCUACCAAGACCCUCAGUAUCCACAGUAUUGGUACAGUUCUGUCAAGAGUACCCAAGGGAAGUCACAUGGUCACAGAUCUUCCGUUUUGUACAGAUGAGAGAGUUGCUCACAACGUAGAGUCUUCCUUAUCUGGGAAAUGGGGCCAAGGUAAGAUUUUUCCAGGUGUCUUGGCAAGACACCACCAGGAGACUCCAAGGUUGAUGAGCACACAGCAAAGGCGCUGUGCAGCAUACCUCUGCCACUUCCCCUCCAUUGGCAAGGCCCCCCACAAGCACCAUUCCCCUCUGCCCCCACCCACACUUCUGCUGUGAGGGUGACUGAAGACUCCUGUGAGUUGUCUUUCAAACUGCGGAGGCCCUUUGAGCUGCAAAGGACAGAGGCCAACAGUUCUAAGUUUGCUGAGUUUCCUAAAUUUUAAACUCUAAACUGGAGAGUAAGGCACAGCCUGUCUUGGACAAGCAAAGACAGGUCCCGAGGCAGGAGUUCAGACCUGAGGCUCACAGACUCUCUGCCUUCAAGUAUUCUUACAGCAUCCCUGUUCUUAACCAGAAGUCUCUGUAUCAGUCUCUUGUCCCGGUGUGCCAUCCCUCCCAAAGGCUUGAUUCCUGGUGCUGUUCCCUCUACCUAUGGCUUUCAUAAGUAGCCACUGUGGAGGAUGGGCUCUUGUGUCAUUGAUUAUUGGUGGCCUGAAGACCAUGUCCCUGGGACCAGAUGUCUAUCCCUGGCCCUGUCACCCUUGUCUGUGAUAGAGAGCCCAGCUGUACUUCAAAUGCAAAAGCUGGUAACAGCAGCAUCUGCAGAAGACGAUGGGAGCAGAAGGUCCUGGCUCUGAAUUACCCUUGCUUUCCAGAGACACAAUUGGCAGAGUAACCCAGAUGCCACCUCAUGGUAAGUGGAUCCCAUCAGGCUGACUGAAGUGACCGUGGGAUGCUAAGUGAACUGGACACCUUCUUCUGUCCUUUCCACUUCUAAGGCAUCACGAAGGAAGAACAGAGAGCUGAGGUUUGUCUUUCUCCUCUACCCCAGCAGAGCUCAGGAGCCUCCCAUUUUGCCCAGAACACCACAGCUCUCUCUUGGUCAGGUGUGAACGCUGCCAUUUCAUGCUUAUCUCCCCCAAUUAACAACAGCUGGUCCCCUAUAAAACCAACUGGUAAGAUGGUUUGUUAUUGGAAGACAAUGCAACAUCAUUAGGCUUUAAUGGCUACAGCCCCGUUUACCGUGCUGAGUUCGCAGGGUUAAUGUGGCGAGAUGUUGGGUCCCACCCUGCUGGGUUGCUGGGCUCUUUGCUAUUUUUAGGCAUCUUCUUCAAGCCUCAUUUUCUGAAUCAUGGAGCCGGGAGGUACUGGGGAGGUGGAUGAGGGUCUUUGUUUCCUGGAAAGAGAAUUAUUCAGGAGGUGGUUGGAGCUGUAUUUAGAAGAACCAGUUCAUCAAAUGAAGUCAUUUUGAAUUAAAAAUUUCUAAAAGAGGGAGAGAGAGAGAGAGAGAGAGAGGAACGCAAGCCUGUUGUGUAUGCGUAUGCGUAUGUGUGUGCCUGCACGCAUCAACCUGUCUCUUUCAGCAGCUAGAUAAGUGUGCGCUCCUCACCCUCACCUUUCUUUACCACUGGUCACCUCUGUUUGGCUCACUGAAAUGAGUCCAGGUCCCGGGUUGAGAUCUGAAGGAAGUCAUAAGCUGUGCUCAUUGAAGGACAUUUUCCCUGGCAAUCAAAGAACUGAGCACUUGCCUGGGAGAGAGAAUCUCAGACUGACUGUGAACUCGAAGUCACACUCACCAAAUUUGGUUCUGAGAAUAAUCUGUACUACUCAUAGUUCAAAAUGGCCUCCCUCUGUGACAAUGUCACCCUGUGACUUAAAACCGAAGCUGGAGUCUGCGUAUUGAUCUUAGUGGUGGUGAUUCACAGGGCUGCCACAGAGGUCUGCUCUUAGGUAAAGGGGUUGGAAAUCUCCAUUCUAGUCUUUCGUUCACUCAGCAAACAGGACUAACAGUGUCUAUGGCUGGCAGGUGCCACUGGCCGAAUGACUGCCUGGGAAGAUCAGGCAGAAAUACCAGAGAGAAGUUAGGUUUUGGUAAAAGAAGUUUUACCUACAUUCCACUCUGUGCCUUCUUCCCUCGCUCACUUGCUCCCUC
rnacentral:lncRNA from 1 species